UACGUAGGGUGCAAGCGUUAAUCGGAAUUACUGGGCGUAAAGCGUGCGCAGGCGGUGAUGUAAGACAGUUGUGAAAUCCCCGGGCUCAACCUGGGAACUGCAUCUGUGACUGCAUCGCUGGAGUGCGGCAGAGGGGGAUGGAAUUCCGCGUGUAGCAGUGAAAUGCGUAGAUAUGCGGAGGAACACCGAUGGCGAAGGCAAUCCCCGUGGGCCUGCACUGACGCUCAUGCACGAAAGCGUGGGGAGCAAACAGG
rnacentral:rRNA from 1 species